rnacentral:misc_RNA from 1 species
AGACAAACAAGGUACUCACUAAUAAAAUCAUAAAGAAGUUAAGACUACAAUCGACUCAACAAGAAAACGCAGGGAGACUGAGAAAUCAGCACAACUACCAUGUGAUUGAAUCUAUAAGAAAGGAACAUAUAAUGCUCAAACAUGGUAAAUCGGAAAAUAAAUGGUCGGAAUAACAGAAAACAGCUUGCUAAACCAAAUCUAUCACACUAUGAGGAUAUGUGAUUUCAGCAAACAAAGAUAUCUAACAUAACUAAACCUUCCAGUACAUGUUGGAAAAUCAAGUCCUUAUUGAAUUUGAAUUUUCCAGAAGAGAAGGGGAGUCCGGCACCUCAAGCUUCAUUCUUCAGAAGUCGCUCCACAUAUGCCUGUACAAGUUUGGUAAUUUUAGGCUUUGAAUGGGACAGAUAUUGCUCUAUCUUCUCUUGCGUCUUAGGGACUUGUUCUCCUUGAAUCGCACCAGUCACCUUAUCAACCACCUUCUUAACAAUUGUUUUAUGAACUUCUCUGCUCAUCUUACCUUCUUUCCAAAUGGGUUUUAGGAUCUCCUUGACGAACUCUAUUAGAGCGUUUUUGAAUAAUCGCAUCACCUUUUCAUCUUUGUUACCGCUUCCCUCCUCAACCUUUCCAUGCAGAUUCAUAGUUCCUGGAUGAUCAUUUUCUUGCACAUCCUUGGACUCCCCCGGAGCUAAUUUAUCCUUUCCAUCAACUUCAACUAAUUCAUUCUCCUGCUGCUUCACUUCAUCAAUUUGAUCAUUAUUUCCAAGUUCAGGAUCAACAGUAGAUGUUUGAUUCACUUGGUCCAUGGGAACCUUAAUACUAUCUCUAUCCAAAUAGAAUGAAUUGUCCGGGGGCAACUUAAAGUUGCCAGAUGUAUUCAGCUCUAAGCCAUCUGGAGGAUGAUAGUUAUCUAGAACCCUCAUCUCAGGAUUGGUCUGACCAUAUAGAGCAUGAACAAGUGAAGAAAUGGGAUUUGAAGGUAGCAUUCCAGAAGGACCAGAGGGAUUUAAGACACUUUGUAGUUGGGCUUCUUGCAGUCCUUCCUCUAAUUUCUUUAUCAUAGAUGCUGGACAGGAUUCCAUUUGAUGUACUUGCUCACCAAUGUCAUCCAAGGGCCUAAUUUCAUGAUUUCUUGAUGUGGCAUCGUGAGAGAAUUCACAAUUAUCCUUGUAGCACUUUCCUGCAGCAAAGUACUCACAAAGUGAUUUCCCGGUUCUGGUUGCUUGAUUGUCCUGACCAUGCUCAAAGGAUGUACUCCGAGUGCCCUUGUCAUAGUAAUCACCUGAGGCACCAUCAUGAGAAAAUCUGCAUGAUGCACCCCAGCGACAGUUGCUUUUCACAAAAUUCCUGCAAGUAAUUGUACCUCUACUCCGAUUUCUGUUCAGCUCAUCCUCCAAAUGAUGCAUAUCAGGAAGCAUGUCCCUUGAUUGGUACCCAGGACCUUCACUAUCAUUAUACCUUGAGAUAUGCCCACGCUCAGGUCGACUACCCAAUCUUUCUGACAAGUUGUCCUCUGAAUGACCUUCAUCCCUAUGACUGGCAGAAUCUAGAUGAAUGAACCUGCAAUCACUGCCUCUCCUACAAUUCCCCGCUGCAAAAUUUCUGCAUACCUGGGAAGAUAUAUGAAGGCUAGCUCUUCUAUCACCUGAUGCAUAUGGAUCACGUUUAGUAUUAUGAGGACUACGACUCCUAUUCUGAACUCUCAUACUACCCCUGUCCCGGCUCCUGCUUCUGCUCCUGGUCCUAAACUUGUCCCGUCCCCUGCUGCGACUCCUGCUCCUACCUUCUCCCCUUCCCCGUCCCCUGCUGCGACUCCUGCUCCUACCUUCUCCCCUUCCCCGUCCCCUGCUGCGACUCCUGCUCCUACCUUCUCCCCUUC